GGUGGCUCAGUGGUAGAGUGUUUGCCUUGCAUGCAUGAGGCUCUGGGUUCAAUUCCCCAGUACCA
rnacentral:tRNA from 1 species